rnacentral:rRNA from 1 species
UACGGAGGAUCCAAGCGUUAUCCGGAUUCAUUGGGUUUAAAGGGUGCGCAGGCGGAAUAAUAAGUCAGUGGUGAAAGCCUACAGCUUAACUGUAGAACUGCCAUUGAUACUGUUAUUCUUGAGUGUUGUUGAGGUAGGCGGAAUGUGUCAUGUAGCGGUGAAAUGCUUAGAUAUGACACAGAACACCGAUCGCGAAGGCAGCUUACCAAGCAACAACUGACGCUCAUGCACGAAAGCGUGGGGAUCAAACAGG